ACUCUAGGGUGAUUGACCCUGUGCCGACCAACCCAGAGUUUUCGGUUCCACAGCAGCGGUUAUGCAUUAGUUCAAUCACCUCGCGGUUGGUUAACACAGGGUUGUGCGCGUCCACGCCAAACCUAUAAAGACGUGAUGUAUGGAUCAUGGAAUUACCGAUCAAUAUGGCGAAACGGGCCGCAUAUUUCUCAGAUCUCGACCUCCAGGUUCUCCUGGAGAGUUACGAUGAGGAAAAGGGAGUGAUAAUGAGGAAAUGCAACACUAAAGCAUCUUCCAUAAUGAGAAAUAAAGCCUGGCAGAGGAUAGCUGACCGCGUAAAUUCGUAAGUGUCAUGAUGUAAUCCGACGGCCCCCAAACGAACUCGGGAACAAGUAAAAAUGAAAUACAAAAACGUUAUACAAGCUGCCAAUCGUAAGAGGGCCGACAGUCGGCAGACUGGAUCGGGCCCUCCAAUUACCUUCACCACGGUUGAGGAGCUGGCUCUAACCAUUAAUGCAGGGCGCCCUGGCAUGGAGGGGAUACCUGGAGGUACCUCCUCCGAGAGUCCGGGGCCAUCUCCGUCCACUGUCAACCCACUGGUUGAAUAUCAAGACGGAGUAUUGCUUUUAAUCGAGCCGGCUACGAAUCCUCCAGUUUAUGCAAGUCCGGAGGCCGAUGAAAAUAUUGCCAUGGAUGGGUCUGAAAGAACUGAGACUGUGGUCGAGGAAGCGGCGGGUACAUCAGGGUCGCAAUAUCAGCAUUUGACUACUAAAGAAUUAUAUCGACUUCAUCUUCAGCGGGAAAUCGCUAAGGCUGAUUUGCAAAUGGAGUACACGAAGCUGCUGAUAGAGGUAAAAAAAGGAGGUUGGGCAGAAAUUCAACGCGGACAUGAUAUUGCUAUUCAAUGUCUAAUUAUAUUAUUUUUCCUCCCUCAGCAACUAAAGAAUAAAAAUGAUUGAUAAAAACAGUGUUGGGUGUUUUUUUUUUUUUAAUUGAAGUGAUUUUGGCAAAUGUGUUCCCGCAUCCUUUGUCCAGCCCUUGAAUCCAUUUGGGGAAUGUGUUCCUCCUCGAGGAACGGGUCAAAGGGGGGAGGCAUCUCUUUGCGCAGGGUGGCGAUAUUGUGGAGGACGGCGCAUGCAACAAUAAUGUCGCAUGCCCGUUCCGGACAAACCCUUAGUCCACGUAGGCAUUGAAAUCUGGACUUCAAUAUCCCGAAUGUGUUUUCAAUCUUAACGCGGGUUCUGCUGUGUGCCCGGUUUAAUGUAGUCUGUGGUCCAGGAGCGGGAUUAGGGUACGGGGUGAUGAGCGUCGGGAGGCAUGGAUACCCUCGAUCUCCUAGGAUCCACCCAUCGAAUUGCCCUGCGAUCAAAUACAAACUUUGAGCUAUCUUGCACAAGCACAAUUAUAUGAGAUCUAUGAUAUGUUCAGAAUGCAACUCACCCUCUUGAAAUUUACGGCUCAAAUUGGAUUCACGAUACAUCCUUGCAUCGUGGACUGAACCAGGCCAUUUUGCCUCUACAUUGGUGAUCAUGUGGGAAGCAUCACAUAUCAUCUAGUGAUAAAAGAAAAAGAUCGACAGCGAUUAACAAACCAUGGAGAUAUUGGAAAUAUCCAAUAUAGGCAGUGUACACUUACCUGAACAUUUAUACUGUGAUAGCCUUUCCUGUUCACAUAAUCUGCCUCAUUUAUAGAUGGGGCCAGUAUGGGCACUUGUGUGCCAUCAAUGCACCCAAUUACAUUUGGAAAUCCUGAAAUAAAACACCCAGAUGAAAAGUCAACGAGGGUAAUUUCGGUGCCAUUUGGGAACACGUAAAGUAGAUAAUGCUGACCUGCAAGUUGGUGAAACUCCAUUUUCAUGCGUCUCGUGGGUUUAUGGCCUGGAAAUACGAUGAAGUUCCGCAACAACCGCUUCAGCGCAAGACAGACUUUACGUACUGAGCGGCAGACCGUGGCUUUGCCUAUGUGCUCAGCAUCUCCUACGCUGUACAAAAAGCUUCCCGUCGCAAAAAAACGGAGAGCUGUGCAAAUUGUUUGGAGUGGACUGAGGGCAGAUCCACGAUUGGUCACAUUUGCAAUGUAUGGUUGGAGAAGGUUAUUUAAAUAAAGCAAAGAAUCACGUGAAAAACGAUAUCUCUCCAGCAAAAAGUCCUCCGGAAAGGACAAUAUGUCGAGCCGUGGUCUAAUUAAUCUCUCUCUGUGAAUGGCACGAAUUAUUUGCGCUCCGAUAUCAAUCGGCCUCUCGUCAAAAGGGCAUGCCAUUGUGAUCACGUAAAAGCUGUGGUGAACGCGGGUUUAAAUACCCUGAGCAAAACCGGGUUAUCUUUUAACUUAACCUGCGCAAAACCUGCUCCGACCAGGUUUGAUUCAGAGCAUAUGUUGCUAUAGCAACUAAGAUACCUUGAUCCUUUUGGAACGGAAAACCUCGGGUUACCGCAAACCCUGGGUUAACUUACCCGGUUAUGUGAUAAAACCGGCAGGUUUGAUUCAGAGCAUAUGUUGCUAUAGCAACUAACAUACCGUGAUCCUUUUGGAACGGAAAACCUAGGGUUACCGAAAACCCUGGGUUCACUUACCCGGUUAUGUGAUAAAACCGGCUUU